ensembl:lncRNA
UCUCUAUCUAGAGAUCCCUCCUCUUGGAGCUCUUCUGUGAGCCCAGGAUACGGGGUAAAUUGCUCUGUGAUCCGGGUGGAGUACAAUGGAAGAGCCUUCCCAGCCUUUGUGUGUGAGUUUCCCUGCAAGGAGAUAAGAGCCCAUGGUGAGCUGAGAUAUACCCACAUCCCUUCCUGGCAGACAGGGAUAAGAUGACAUCAAUGAAUUUUACAGAGUUUAGAAUUCUGUUAUCUACCCUUCAACAUCACUAUGUGUCCUAUAUUAGCAAUCUCUAUUAGGGAAUGCACAUCAUGAUGCUAUCUUUUUUUUAGCCCACAAUGAUAAUAAAACAAAAAAAUCCAGACCACCAAGCUGUGUGCCAAGAGCACAUCAUUACUUAUCUUUUCUCUUUUUAGUGUAAGACUGAGAUUCCUUCGUUGCCUGAAGGUUUUUCUGUGGGUUUGUUGUUUUUUUUUUUUUUGUGUGUGUGUGUGUGUGUGGUUUUUUUGUUUUGUUUUGUUUUGUUUUGCAGCUUAUCUAACUUCAAAUGUGCUUUGUAAUAGAAACCUGUGGUUUCACAAUAAUGACUCUUUCACAUCUUCUUAUCGCUUUUGGGAAUUAAAUCUGAAAAGCAUUGAUAUAUUUGAAUGACAGCUGUGGGUCUUGUUCCACAGAGAGGCAUUCUUAGCUGGGGCAUCAGUAGGUUUGAAUGGCACAGGAAGGACAGUGGAGCUGCUCCGUGCUGUAAGAUGCCCUUAGGGAACAAGAAAGUAGGAAAUGGCACAACACAUUUAUCUAAGGGUAAAUCAAUUGAUAGUAGACUGUAUGAAGGAGAAGCAACAAAGUUUGAUACAAAAUGUUGUGAAGGGAUGAGAAAUCUUUUAAGUUGUUGUCCUUUGUAUUCUGAGCAUCUUAUUGUAUUCCAGACAAUAGAGAUUAUUAUUCCGCAUUUGUAAACAGGAAAAGCAAGCAGAUACAUUUUAUCUGUUCAAGUUUGCAUAACUAAUGGCGAAGGCAGAGGAAGAACCCAAUAAAGAAGAAUUUGUAGCAAAG